CACACUUCUUAUUACGCUUCAUUUUCGAAUUUCACUCGAGAUCAAUGAAGUAUCUUUCCAUCUAUCUGUUCUUUAACUUUUUUUUUUACAGCUGUCCAAUAUUACAAUCCCGCUGUCAACUUCUUCUUUGGCCAGUAAACUUCUGUUCACAAUACCCUCAUUCAUGUCGUAAGCGCCAACAUGAGGAGUCAUGACGAAGUGAUGCAGGGCGCUGCUCUUGUAGCGACCGGCAGCAGGUGACUGUCUGUAACUCAGGCCAUCAAAAGACUGAACUCCAAUGAUGACUGACGUGUUUUAUUUUGUUUAAAUGAUGGUUUUAUGGAGGUUUUUUUUAUACAUUCUCUGUUUCCUGUUGCAGUG